rnacentral:tRNA from 1 species
UGGAGCGUGGCCUAACUGGUAAGGCGCUUUGUUUUGGUCAAAGAGAUUGCUAGUUCGAAUCUAGCCGUUCCAG